rnacentral:rRNA from 1 species
UACGGAGGGGGCUAACGUUGUUCGGAAUUACUGGGCGUAAAGCGCGUGUAGGCGGCUAAGUAAGUCGGGCGUGAAAUCCCACGGCUCAACCGUGGAAGUGCACUCGAAACUGCAUAGCUAGAGUCCUGGAGAGGAAGGUGGAAUGCUUGGUGUAGAGGUGAAAUUCGUAGAUAUCAAAGCGGGAACACCGGUGGCGAAGGCGGCCUUCUGGACAGUGACUGGACGCUG